GACGAACGCUGGCGGCGUGCUUAACACAUGCAAGUCGAACGGACGGGCGCUGCUUUUGUGGGGUUCUCGAUUGGCGAACGGGGGAGUGACACGUGUGUAACCUGCCCUUAACUUUGGGGUAACUUCAGGAAACUCGGGCUAAUACCGGGUAGAAUCUCCUGCUGCGUGGGGGUGGUUGGAAAGUUUCGGCGGUUGGGGAUGGACUCGCGGGUUAUCAGCUUGUUGGUGGGGUAGUGGCGGACCAGGGCUUUGACGGGUAGCCGGCCUGAGAGGUUGAACGGCCACAUGGGGACUGAGAUAGGGACCAGUCUCCAACGGGACGCAGUAGGCGGGAACCUUGCAGAACGGGCGGAAGCCUGAUGUAGCAACGUCGCGUGCGGGAUAACGGCUUUUGGGUGGUAAACAGCUUUCGACUGUGACGAAGCGUGAGUGACGGUAAUGGGUAAAGAAGCAACGGCUAACUACGUG
rnacentral:rRNA from 1 species